UGUGCAUGGGUGGGGUCCCUCAGCCUGGCCUGCGCCCUCUCGCAAUCCGGGACCCCUUGGGGGAUGUUGGAGUGCCAGUUUCGGCCCAAUUCCUGCAGGCCAGGCUGAGGGACCCCACCAGUGCACA
rnacentral:pre_miRNA from 1 species